rnacentral:rRNA from 1 species
GACGAACGCUGGCGGCGUGCUUAACACAUGCAAGUCGAACGGAAAGGCCCUGCUUUUGUGGGGUGCUCGAGUGGCGAACGGGUGAGUAACACGUGAGUAACCUGCCCUUGACUUUGGGAUAACUUCAGGAAACUGGGGCUAAUACCGGAUAGGAGCUCCUGCUGCAUGGUGGGGGUUGGAAAGUUUCGGCGGUUGGGGAUGGACUCGCGGCUUAUCAGCUUGUUGGUGGGGUAGUGGCUUACCAAGGCUUUGACGGGUAGCCGGCCUGAGAGGGUGACCGGCCACAUUGGGACUGAGAUACGGCCCAGACUCCUAUGGGAGGCAGCAGUGGGGAAUAUUGCACAAUGGGCGGAAGCCUGAUGCAGCAACGCCGCGUGCGGGAUGACGGCCUUCGGGUGGUAAACCGCUUUCGCCUGUGACGAAGCGUGAGUGACGGUAAUGGGUAAAGAAGCACCGGCUAACUACGU